rnacentral:rRNA from 1 species
CCUACGAGAGGCAGCAGUGAGGAAUAUUGGUCAAUGGGCGUAAGCCUGAACCAGCCAAGUCGCGUGAGGGAUGAAGGUUCUAUGGAUCGUAAACCUCUUUUAUAAGGGAAUAAAGUGCGGGACGUGUCCCGUUUUGUAUGUACCUUAUGAAUAAGGAUCGGCUAACUCCGUGCCAGCAGCCGCGGUAAUACGGAGGAGCCGAGCGUUAUCCGGAUUUAUUGGGUUUAAAGGGUGCGUAGGCGGCCUUUUAAGUCAGCGGUGAAAGUCUGUGGCUCAACCAUAGAAUUGCCGUUGAAAAUGGGAGUCUUGAGUAUGUUUGAGGCAGGCGGAAUGCGUGGUGUAGCGGUGAAAUGCUUAGAUAUCACGCAGAACCCCGAGUGCGAAGGCAGCCUGCCAAGCCAUGACUGACGCUGAUGCACGAAAGCGUGGGGAUCAAACAGGAUUAGAUACCCGGGUAGUC